UUUGCUAAGAAUCGGCUCAGUUCUCUAACUUGUGUUAGUACUUCCCCUGACUGGCCAGGCUGUAGGGAAGGAAAGGUGGUCACACAGGAAAUAAGAGUAACCUUUUCGGUUUCCAAGAGGAUGACGAGCUCCCCAAUGACAAAUCCACCACCUGGAUUGUGUAACAACCACCACUGGAAAAAAACUGCUCCAUGUUUCUUCUGCUGCUUAGUUCAACACAAACAGUGGACACCUUUGAGUUGACUGUUAUGUUCUGCCUAGUCAGGAUUGCUACCAACCUGACAAACACCAUCCAAAGAUCAGCUUCAGAUUACAGAUUGCUUAGGAUAUUCAAAAUGCUGAAUUUGUAUGAGAUUAACAUGAACAUUUUACACAACUUUGAACUCAAAAAUACUUAAUCUAAUCCUAAAACUGCCAAAUACAGCCAAGCUGGACAUUGUGGGAAGCUUAGCGAAAAUUGCUUAAUUUGUGUGAAUAGCAUUACAUUAGCUUUCCUUUUUAUUUAGACAGAAAAAUGGGAAUACAUAGGAACAAUAGGAUAAAAGGGUAGAUUAUUGAAUCUACUCUUAUAGAUCAUUUGUAUAUUGAUAAAAAAUUAAGGUUACAGCAUACUAUAUUGUGGAGAGCUGCUUGUUUAUGAAGCUACUUUGUUAUUUAUUGAAAAACAUGUUUUCACCCUGGCCUUCACCUUGAGACAGAGAAAAGAGGAAGUUUCACCAAGUUCCUUGUUUGUGUGACCUUGGACCGUAUGUGCUAUAGGGAAGUAGUUUUAAAAAAGAAGUUUGUCAGUUCCACAAACAAAUUUCUUUUUGUAUUGAUGUGACUUGUUUUUUGCUUUGCCAAUAAAAAAGGAAUUGUGGAAUAAACUCACACUGCAGUCUUACUGACAGCCCUCUGGAGCUGAUCCCAUGUGUACUGUGACUUGCUUUAAUUACUUCAAUCCUCACUUUCCACUCAGGAACUGUUCAACUCUGCGGGCUGGCUCAGGCACUAUAUAUCAACUCUUUUUAUUUAAAGUAUUAUACAUAUGUAAUUAUUAAAAAUGCAAUGUGAAGUUUAGUUCUUUUGAAAGCUACUAUCAUAAACUGUCUAAGAUAAUUUUAGAAAUGCAAACUAAUAGUCAGUCAAACUUGUGGUUUUGUUAGGUACUAACUUAGUUAAACACAGGGUUUUUUUCUAAGUUAAUCAGUCAGUAUAUAGAUAGAAACAAAUAAUUGAGAUAUACUAGAGAUAGAUGAUCUUCAAAAACCUCAGAGAUCUGUCUGUAGAAUAUGGCAUUAACGAUGUUUUAUUAAUUUGAAAAUUUUUGGAUGAGACGUCAUCUCCUGGAAGCACGCCUUUUUGACUUCGAAGAAUAUGAUGAACAUGAAAAAGAAAUUCUCCUUUAGGAGAUGGCUUCAUAUGUGGCAAGCUAGCCCCUGGACAAGGAAUGUCCUUGCUUUUAUUGCAAGCAGAAUGCUGGACAAACUGGAUACAGGAUGGUUGACUGCCAAGCUUUGCAAGGACAAGGUAGGCAAGUCCUUCAUUAUACCAGCUUCACAGAAAAGUCUGUCAGAUAUGCUGAGCCAGUAGACUGAAGCUGAUGAUAUAGAGAUAUCUUGGGUGACUCUCCAGGCAGCCAGAGCUGCUUGCUCUGUACUUCCUGUUUAUUCAGAUAAUAUUAGAAGAUUGAAGACUAAAUAGUUAUAAUCUUACAAUUAAGAUUAAGUUCCUUAGGAUUUAAGAAGAUGUUUAGGUCUUUUUAGAUGGUUUUUGAUUGGUAUUUCAAGUUUUUACACAAAGUGAUUUAGGUACAGAACUUUAGACUUACCAAGAUAGGAUAGGAUACUUUCUUUAAGGUUAAUAAUUACUUAUGGACAAGACAUUGUGAAUGUUAAGUUUUACCUGAUAGUAUAUAGUUUAUUGAUGUUAGAGGGAAAGUUUUUUAGUUAGACAAAAAGUGUUGCAGGGUAUUUGAUCUAUUUUGAAUCCCAAAAUAAUCAAAGAACUCUGUGUAAACACGAUCUAACUAAGUUAACCCUACGUCAAGAGGCAGAGCAAGAAACCAGCUGACAGGGAUUUAAUAGUAUGAGGGACUUUGAGUUGAGGGGUAUUUAAGACAUCAUGGAGAAGAAGAAAGAACUUUUUAACUUAAGCUCUGGCUUUAGCUUAGGCUUCACCUAGUUCCUCAGCUCCCUGGCUUUUGCCCUGGCUUUUGGGCUUUGAGUUAUCAAGCCUUUGGCCUUGGUAUUUUGGCCUUUUCUUCCAGAGCUGUCAGUUGUCCGAAUGAGCCUUUUGGGUUUUUUUGUUUGUUUGUUUGUUUGUUUGUUUGUUUGUUUUUUCCAUCUGGACCUGAACUGAGAAGGAAGGUCAGCUGGGUGCUUCCUCUGCCUCUCUGAGCUAGCAGGUUUGCAUCCAACAUCUGGCUCCUAAGUCCUCAUUGGUAAAAUAGAGCAGUUGGAAUUUUCAUCAUUGUUUUUAAAAACAUGUAUCAAUCCUUAAGAACACUUGCUACUCUUGCAGAGGACCUGUCUUUGCUCUCUAGCAUUCACAUGGCAGCUCACAACCACCAUUUGUAACUCCAGUUUUAGGGGAUCUGAGACUCUAUUCAGUAAAUAUUAACUUAAUGACUGUGGAAUUAUUAGCUAUCCUAAUCAUGCAGUUCAUCCUAAGGGUCUUUUUAUUAUGUGAACAUUUAACAACAGAUAAAUAGAAUGGUAUACUUAGUCCCUGUGUUAGUACAUGAGGUGUCUUAGGAAUAGAUCUGGUCACAAAGAAUGUUCUGUAACAAAGCAAAUUUCAGCCAUGUGUGGUGAAACACAAUCAUAUUCUGUUUUUAAUUAAAUUUUUAUUUUUAUAUUAAUUACAGUUUAUUCACUUUGUAUCCCAGCUGUAGCCCCCUCAUUCCCUCCCAAGCUCACUCUCCCUCCCUCAUCUCCUCCCAUGCCUCUCUCCAAGUCCACUGAUAGGGGAGGUCCUCCUCCCCUUACAAUUGUAUUCUUGACACUUGGGAAACUGGAGCAGGAGGAUUAAGAAUGGGAGGGUAUAUGAAACAUCAUCUCAAAAACAAAACAAGACGAAAGAUUAAAGGAUUUUACUAUGUAAGCAUGUAGUUAUAAAUGAAGGAACAUGCGUUUUAUCUAUUUAUUUUUGUGUACUGUAGGGUGAAAGACCCCUGCCUCACCCUAAGUUAAACAUAGCUAACGCCAUUUUGUGAGACACCACUGUUUUGUAAAACUCUGAAGGCCAGAUGAGAAACUGAAAAAUUACUGAGAAAUCCUAGCUGUGUCACCCACUUGGGAUAUCUGUGGUCAGGCUGCCCCAGUCAUACUAAAAACAGUUUGUGUUAAUCACCCUCAUAGAUAUCUGUGAGACUGUUUCAGUUAAGAUAGAAAAAAACAAAAUAACAGGUGGCGGGCCACGUCAAGGGGUCAUCAUAACCCCCUUGACCACCCAGUUCCUGAAAUCUUGGUGCCCCUGCCAAACUUUGACGCAAAUUGUGGUCUCGUGUAAACGUACCAAUCAGCCCCCUGUAACCAUGCCUCUCGCUUCUGUACCAGUGCUUCUGCUCUAAAACCCUAUAAAAACCCCAGCUUCCCGUCUAGGGGGCGCGGAAGUCUCCAGAAUGACUUUUCGCCCCGGGUACCCGUGUAUCAAAAUAAAAGCCUCUUGCUGUUUGCAUCCGAA